AGCUCCAAUAGCGUAUAUUAAAGUUGCUGCAGUUAAAAAGCUCGUAGUUGCAUUUCCGAGGCAAGGGAUUAGUCCGACCUUUGGUGGGUAUUUAAUCCUCUUGCCUCGUCCUUGAGUGGUGCUUCUUGGUAUUAAGUUAUCGAGGAGAUAGCCGCUCAUCGUUUACUGUGAGAAAAUUAGAGUGUUCAAAGCAGGCUUAUGCCGUUGAAUAUAUUAGCAUGGAAUAAUAAGAUAGGACCUCGGUACUAUUUUGUUGGUUUGAGAACAAAGGUAAUGAUGAAUAGGGACAGUUGGGAGUAUUCGUAUUCAGUUGUCAGAGGUGAAAUUCUUAGAUUUACGGAAGACGAACUACUGCGAAAGCAUUUACCAAGGAUGUUUUCA
rnacentral:rRNA from 1 species